rnacentral:rRNA from 1 species
GACGUAGGGUGCAAGCGUUGUCCGGAAUUAUUGGGCGUAAAGAGCUCGUAGGCGGUCUGUCGCGUCGGAUGUGAAAACCCAGGGCUCAACCCUGGGCCUGCAUUCGAUACGGGCAGACUAGAGUUCGGUAGGGGAGACUGGAAUUCCUGGUGUAGCGGUGAAAUGCGCAGAUAUCAGGAGGAACACCGGUGGCGAAGGCGGGUCUCUGGGCCGAUACUGACGCUGAGGAGCGAAAGCGUGGGGAGCAAACAGG